UACGUAGGGCGCAAGCGUUAUCCGGAAUUAUUGGGCGUAAAGAGCUCGUAGGCGGUUUGUCGCGUCUGCCGUGAAAGUCCGGGGCUCAACUCCGGAUCUGCGGUGGGUACGGGCAGACUAGAGUGAUGUAGGGGAGACUGGAAUUCCUGGUGUAGCGGUGAAAUGCGCAGAUAUCAGGAGAAACACCGAUGGCGAAGGCAGGUCUCUGGGCAUUAACUGACGCGGAGGAGCGAAAGCAUGGGGAGCGAACAGG
rnacentral:rRNA from 1 species